rnacentral:rRNA from 1 species
CGAACGGAGUACUUCGGUACUUAGUGGCGGACGGGUGAGUAACGCGUGGGGAUCUGCCCUCAGGAGGGGGACAACGACUGGAAACGGUCGCUAAUACCCCAUAUGCCGAGAGGUGAAAUGUUUUUUCGCCUGAGGAUGAGCUCGCGUCAGAUUAGCUAGUUGGUGGGGUAACGGCCUACCAAGGCGACGAUCUGUAGCUGGUCUGAGAGGAUGAUCAGCCACACUGGGACUGAGACACGGCCCAGACUCCUACGGGAGGCAGCAGUGGGGAAUUUUCCGCAAUGGGCGAAAGCCUGACGGAGCAAGACCGCGUGAGGGAUGACGGCCUAAUGGUUGUAAACCUCCUUUCUCUGGGAAGAUAAUGACGGUACCAGAGGAAUAAGCCUCGGCUAACUCCGUGCCAGCAGCCGCGGUAAUACGGAGGAGGCAAGCGUUAUCCGGAAUUAUUGGGCGUAAAGCGUCCGUAGGUGGUUAAUCAAGUCAGCUGUUAAAGAGCGGAGCUUAACUCCGUUAGAGCGGUUGAAACUGAUUGACUAGAGUUUGGUAGGGGUCGAGGGAAUUCCCAGUGUAGCGGUGAAAUGCGUAGAUAUUGGGAAGAACACCGGUGGCGAAAGCGCUCGACUGGGCCUGAACUGACACUGAGGGACGAAAGCUAGGGGAGCGAAAGGGAUUAGAUACCCCUGUAGUCCUAGCCGUAAACGAUGGAGACUAGGUGUUGCUCGUUAUCGACCCGAGCCGUGCCGA